GGAUGUGAGGGCAAUCUGGCUGUGACAUCUGUCACCCCACUGAUCGCCAGGGUUGAUCCAGCUGAUCUGCCUGGCCAGGCAGGGGUACCCUUCCUCCCUCACCGCUCCAUGUGUGUCCCUUCGGAAGCUACAUGCUCGGUCGAAGAGGACACCACCCCCCAUUGAGGAGGACCAUUUCCUGGGCCAAGGGUAUACGAGUAGCUGCACUCCCCUGCUAGGACCUCCAAACAAGCUCUCAAAAGAGAAGCCACAGCAGUCUAACUGGAAAACUUGAGGGCAACGCCAGACAAAGAUGACCUCCUGCUUU
rfam:Heterocephalus glaber contig81202, whole genome shotgun sequence.